GCCUAGUUAGCUUAGUUGGUAGUGCGUCUGCCUUGUAAGCGCUAGGCCGCCGGUUCGAUUCCCGCCCGGGGCG
rfam:Asian citrus Psyllid, Diaphorina citri - Florida Strain, whole genome shotgun sequence.